GGGGUAGUGGCAAGGUGGCCAGAGCAAUUGACUGGGAGCUGGGAACAGGAAUGAAGAGGAAGAGCUGAUAAGAAACAUGCCCAGAGCAGAUUUGAUGCUACUGCCAAUGUACCUGAAUAAGAAGACAACUCUUUCUGGAAAAAGGGAAAACUUGAAGGGCUAUUGAAGGCCGCUAGAAAGAUGGAGUUUCACUCUUGUCGCCCAGGAUGGAGUACAAUGGCAUGAUCUUGGCUCACUGCAACCUCUGCUUCCAGGGUUCAAGUGAUUCUCCUGCCUCAGCCUCCUGAGUAGGUGGGCUUAUAGGUGCCCGCCAUGAUGCCCAGCUAAUUUUUGUUUCAUUAGUACAAAUAGGGUUUCACUAUGUCGGCCAGGCUUGUCUCGAAUUCCUGACCUCAGGUGAUCUGCCCGCCUCGGCCUCCCAAAGUGCUGGGAUUACAGGUGUGAACCACCGUGCCCGGUUUGAGUAACCUUUAAGUAAGAAAGUGCCUUUUGGGUUGAGUUUAACAAUUUCCAUGGUAGAGAGUCUCUUCUGCUAUAUGCUGUUUACUUAGCUUCUGCCUAGUAUAUGCAGCAGCAGAAAAUGGUUUCCCUUGUUGUAGGUCUAAUGAGAUUUAGAACACUUUGGGUCCUCAGAUAUAGUGAGCAAGAUUUUCACUUCAUAGAUGAAGGAACUGCAGCCUAAAGAAUUGGGAAGAAAAGGUUUAUCCAGGCUUGCUGUGCAUUCCUUCCUUUCUCUGGGAAUUCCCUUGGAGAAGAAAUCUGGCUGAUCAAAUCUCCUUGUAAACAUGCUGUGAAGACUCUGGGGAAAACCACUAAUGAUAUUUGUUAGUGGCAGUCUUUAUCUUUGAGAGACUUUUAGCAGCAUGAACCUUACCCCCGUAGUAGAAUUGUAUAUGGUAAACAAACCUGGAAUCUAAGGAUUCAUGGGUAAUGGCUUCUUGAAAAGUGUCAAGUAAGCUAUGUAACUAUGGCAGGAGAUGGAACUACUUCAGGGUUAAAAAAGCUGGCUUUCAUUUCGUGCAAGUAAUGUACUUGUGUACAUCUUUUGGAGAACCAUAUGUUAAAUCCGAAUCAGACCAAGUCCUAAUGUGGUAAGAAAAGGGCUGUGGAGUAGUAUUGGCAGUCCUGGGCUUUUCCCUAUGUUCCCUGUACCUUGUGAUUACUUAUAGCUUUGACAUUAUUAGUAAAGUUUGAUACUUGGUAAAAUA
rnacentral:lncRNA from 10 species